rnacentral:SRP_RNA from 17 species
GUGAACCCGGUCAGGCCCGGAAGGGAGCAGCCGAAGCGGUGGAUGUGUGUGCCG